GUGGAAAAGAAACAAACAAUAAGGCAUAAGCGCUUUUUCCAAAAGCUCCAAGGGGUGCUUAUUUCCCAAAAGCUAUUUUUCCCUCUCAUCUUCCUCACGUAACAACAGCAACAACAAUACGCUUAAACUCUUCAUCUAUUUGUUAAAAAAAAAUCAAUAGAGCAAACAACCAACAAUCAUAUUCAGUUUUCGAUUUCGAAUUGUUUCAAUUUCAAUUUCGCGGUUCUAUUUGAGCUUCACGGUUAUGUUUGAGGUUCGUGAAGGUUUUCUGUUCAGAAUCGAGUUGCUACUCAGUUUUGUUUUGGUUCGUGUUAGGAGGUUUCGACUCAGUGCAUAGUUUGGAUUCGAGCAGAGCUUUUUCACGGUUUAGAUUUUGCAUUCCAGCCAAGUUUUCCAUAAAUGUUUGUUUCGAUUUCGAAUCGAGUUUUGUUUCAGUUCAGAAUUUAAUUUAUGUUUUCUGUUCAUAAUUGGUUGCGUUUUGGAAUAUUGCAUUUUUACGGUUUCCACUCAAUUACGGAUUCUACUAAAGUUUGAUUAUGAUUUGAUUUCGGUGAAGAUUUUGGUUUGAAUUAAAAUUAAAGCGACUAUACAAUAUCAUAAUGCUAAACUGGAUGAGCUCUCACCAGUUGAAAUGAAGAAAAAUUGCAGAUUUCGUUCUCGCUCGCAAGGUUUGAAGUAAAGGUGGUGGAUUGAUGCAGAAGUUGAAGCUAAUCAUGUAGAAGGUGUUCUGUACAUAGUGUAUUCGAAUUAUGAUUUUGAGUCAGAUUUUGCUCCAUUUGAAAAAGGAAGAGGACCGUGAGAAGAUUAAGAAUUUGGAGGUGGGUUUUUUAGUCGUCAUUAUGCUUUGGUUCCUGAAGGAGUUUGGUUGCGUGCUCCCAAACGGUGAGUGUCGACUCUCCGCCUCUAUUUCUUUUCAAUAGGUUAUAGUUAUGACUUUUAGGUACUGUUAUAUUGAAAUUAUGAAGCAAAAAUUGAGGUCUUAAUUGUUAUUAUGCAUUUAGUUGUACAUUUUUUAUUUUGUUGAUGCACCGGUCUUUAUGGGGUGUGUAUCUGUGCUGCAUUUAAGUGAUGUGCCUGGUGUGAGUAGGGUGUUUAUGCAAACAGAUGAUUUCUCUAACUUAGUUAUGAUAUAAUUAUUUGUUUACAAUUCCAUGGUUGUGCAUAGAAAGGUAAUCAAGUGUAGAACUAGUCACAGAACAGUAGGAUUCCCUGUUUGUUAGGACUUUAAGAUUAUACUGCUUGGUGUGUAUGUCCGUCUUUAAUGCCAGUUUAAUACUAAAUACAUCCACCAUCAGGUUUAGUCAGCCAUGGUGUUACAUGUUGUGCAUAGGAAGAUGUUGAAAGUGAAUGUUUUCUAUGCACUUUAAUUGCCUAGUUUAUUAUUCCAAGAUAUUUUAAUUGGAUAAGUGUUCGGGUAAAAAAUCAUAUAUGUUAUCUGCAAGAGAGUUGUCAAUCACAUGGAGCAAUGACCAAUAUACUGGAGCUAGAGACCAACCAAAGUUUCAAGGUAAACUAAACUAUUUUGAUUUCAAGUUUAAUUGUUUAAGAUGAUCAGAGAUUGAACCAAAGUAUACCAUAUUGAUCAUGAUGACUAAUAAGAAGGGUAGAAUUCUAACAUACCCUGGCGUAUCAGUUUGGUGUGAAUACUCUUUUAGGUGGCUAAGUAUCAUAUGAGGCACGGUUAGUAUAUUAAUGUUUAACAUUGAUCUUAUUACUAUUUGAAUAUAUUCCCUAUAUAAAAUAAGUUUUUAUCUGAGACACGUCUAUAUUAAUGUAUAUAAUUUUACGGUUUCGACUCAAUUACGAGUUCUACUAAAGUUUGAUUGAUUCGAUUUGGGUGCAGAUUUUGGUUUGAGUUAAAAUUAACGAGAGUAUACAGCGUCAUAAACCUAAAUUGGAUGAGCGCUUACCAGUUGAAAUCAAGAAAAAUGCGGAUUUCGUCCUCGCUCGUAAGAUGCUAUGCUCGUUUGCAUCCAAGGGCUGUUAAUUGUAGGGAAAAAAAUUUGGUCACAGUAAUAAGUGAAUUUGAAACAUCAUAUUGAAGGCUUUUAUUGCUCAAUCAGAUCCUCUUACUUGGAUAAAUAUUUACUGUAAACUCUGUGGUUGACUUUCUCUCCUUCAAUAUGCUUUCUCUCCUUCAAUAUGCUCUUGCAAAUCCUCUCACUUUUUAUGUAUGGUUGUAAUUUCUUUGUGGCUGUAGGGAAAAGAGGAGCUAUUGACUUAACUAAGAAAGGAACUAAAUGUUACGCAUAAUUGAGUUAAAUGCUCCUAGCACUUAUGUUAAAAUGAACACCAAGAUGGUUUCAUCAAUUCAUUCACUCUCUUGU